rnacentral:rRNA from 1 species
GCCUAACACAUGCAAGUCGAGCGGUAGCACAGAGAGCUUGCUCUCGGGUGACGAGCGGCGGACGGGUGAGUUAUGUCUGGGAAACUGCCUGAUGGAGGGGGAUAACUACUGGAAACGGUAGCUAAUACCGCAUAAUGUCGCAAGACCAAAGUGGGGGACCUUCGGGCCUCAUGCCAUCAGAUGUGCCCAGAUGGGAUUAGCUAGUAGGUGGGGUAACGGCUCACCUAGGCGACGAUCCCUAGCUGGUCUGAGAGGAUGACCAGCCACACUGGAACUGAGACACGGUCCAGACUCCUACGGGAGGCAGCAGUGGGGAAUAUUGCACAAUGGGCGCAAGCCUGAUGCAGCCAUGCCGCGUGUGUGAAGAAGGCCUUCGGGUUGUAAAGCACUUUCAGCGGGGAGGAAGGCGUUAAGGUUAAUAACCUUGACGAUUGACGUUACCCGCAGAAGAAGCACCGGCUAACUCCGUGCCAGCAGCCGCGGUAAUACGGAGGGUGCAAGCGUUAAUCGGAAUUACUGGGCGUAAAGCGCACGCAGGCGGUCUGUCAAGUCGGAUGUGAAAUCCCCGGGCUCAACCUGGGAACUGCAUUCGAAACUGGCAGGCUAGAGUCUUGUAGAGGGGGGUAGAAUUCCAGGUGUAGCGGUGAAAUGAGUAGAGAUCUGGAGGAAUACCGGUGGCGAAGGCGGCCCCCUGGACAAAGACUGACGCUCAGGUGCGAAAGCGUGGGGAGCAAACAGGAUUAGAUACCCUGGUAGUCCACGCCGUAAACGAUGUCGAUUUGGAGGUUGUGCCCUUGAGGCGUGGCUUCCGGAGCUAACGCGUUAAAUCGACCGCCUGGGGAGUACGGCCGCAAGGUUAAAACUCAAAUGAAUUGACGGGGGCCCGCACAAGCGGUGGAGCAUGUGGUUUAAUUCGAUGCAACGCGAAGAACCUUACCUGGUCUUGACAUCCACAGAACUUUCCAGAGAUGGAUUGGUGCCUUCGGGAACUGUGAGACAGGUGCUGCAUGGCUGUCGUCAGCUCGUGUUGUGAAAUGUUGGGUUAAGUCCCGCAACGAGCGCAACCCUUAUCCUUUGUUGCCAGCGGUUAGGCCGGGAACUCAAAGGAGACUGCCAGUGAUAAACUGGAGGAAGGUGGGGAUGACGUCAAGUCAUCAUGGCCCUUACGACCAGGGCUACACACGUGCUACAAUGGCAUAUACAAAGAGAAGCGACCUCGCGAGAGCAAGCGGACCUCAUAAAGUAUGUCGUAGUCCGGAUUGGAGUCUGCAACUCGACUCCAUGAAGUCGGAAUCGCUAGUAAUCGUAGAUCAGAAUGCUACGGUGAAUACGUUCCCGGGCCUUGUACACACCGCCCGUCACACCAUGGGAGUGGGUUGCAAAAGAAGUAGGUAGCUUAACCUUCGGGAGGGCGCUUACCACUUUGUGAUUCAUGACUGGGGUGAAGUC